CCUACGGGAGGCAGCAGUGGGGAAUUUUGGACAAUGGGGGAAACCCUGAUCCAGCAAUGCCGCGUGUGUGACGAAGGCCUUCGGGUUGUAAAGCACUUUUGGCGGGAACGAAACGGCGCUUUCUAAUACAGAGCGCUAAUGACGGUACCCGCAGAAUAAGCACCGGCUAACUACGUGCCAGCAGCCGCGGUAAUACGUAGGGUGCAAGCGUUAAUCGGAAUUACUGGGCGUAAAGCGUGCGCAGGCGGUUUCGUAAGACAGAUGUGAAAGCCCCGGGCUCAACCUGGGAAGUGCAUUUGUGACUGCGAGACUAGAGUGUGUCAGAGGGAGGUAGAAUUCCACGUGUAGCAGUGAAAUGCGUAGAGAUGUGGAGGAAUACCGAUGGCGAAGGCAGCCUCCUGGGAUAACACUGACGCUCAUGCACGAAAGCGUGGGGAGCAAACAGGAUUAGAUACCCUGGUAGUCCACGCCCUAAACGAUGUCUACUAGUUGUCGGGGAUUCGUUUCCUUGGUAACGCAGCUAACGCGUGAAGUAGACCGCCUGGGGAGUACGGCCGCAAGGUUAAAACUCAAAGGAAUUGACGGAAU
rnacentral:rRNA from 1 species